rnacentral:rRNA from 1 species
UACGAAGGGGGCUAGCGUUGCUCGGAAUUACUGGGCGUAAAGCGCACGUAGGCGGGUUCUUAAGUCGGUGGUGAAAUCCUGGAGCUCAACUCCAGAACUGCCUCGAUACUGGGAAUCUUGAGUCCGGGAGAGGUGAGUGGAACUGCGAGUGUAGAGGUGAAAUUCGUAGAUAUUCGCAAGAACACCAGUGGCGAAGGCGGCUCACUGGCCCGGUACUGACGCUGAGGUGCGAAAGCGUGGGGAGCAAACAGG